UACGUAGGGGGCAAGCGUUGUCCGGAUUAUUGGGCGUAAAGAGCGUGUAGGCGGCCAGACAGGUCCGUUGUGAAAACUCGAGGCUCAACCUCGAGACGCCGAUGGAAACCGUCUGGCUAGAGUCCGGAAGAGGAGAGUGGAAUUCCUGGUGUAGCGGUGAAAUGCGCAGAUAUCAGGAAGAACACCCGUGGCUAAGGCGGCUCUCUAGUACGGUACUGACGCUGAGACGCGAAAGCGUGGGGAGCGAACAGG
rnacentral:rRNA from 1 species